GUUAGGAGCAGAGAGAUCAGCAUCAGCAAUGGUAAAAAUUACUGUACCUUGGUUUGAGUGAGUCAAAGGAGAAUGGAUGUCCUUGUUCUGUCUUGAGAAUUCCGCUAUGGUCACAUGCUCUGUUUGCACCAUGCUUAGGAAGGAGCAUGUGGACCAAUAAUGAAUGGCUUGUGCUGAUUGAAGCGUUCUUCCCUGGUGACAUGCUGUGGCUGCCUCUUGAUUGGGAGCAUGCAGACCAAUGAAUGAAUGGAGGAAAGGAAGACCAGUCCUGGAUUGCUGAUGACUACUGGUGGCGUAUAGGUCAUAGACAGUGAACGGUUGCAUUUUGUGGAUUUAAGGAUUCCUCCAAGGUCAUGUGCUCUACUUGCACCAUUUUUAGGAUGGAGCCUG